GUGCCAUCUACCCUCAGUUAGAUAUUGUUGGAAUGUGAAUGUUAGUCUCUACGGUCUUCCUUGCUGCACAGUGAAAUGACAUAAUCAGUUAUUGCUCUUUGCAAACUCUAAAGCAAGAAAGACUUAAAGAUGCCUGAUUAGCAUAAAGACAAAAUUUUACCAAGUUUAUCCCUGCACAUCGUUUUACUGACCUCACUGUCAAACAAUCAGGCUGUCUGAUUAUCUUAUAUCAGCUAUUUCAGUCUUCGAUAGCUACUCCAGCAAAAUCCUGAAUAGUAAGACCACAAUGUAGUUUCGAUUUAAUAAGAGUUUGUAUUUGUUAAAGGGACA